rnacentral:rRNA from 1 species
AGAGUUUGAUCCUGGCUCAGGACACACGCUAGCGGCGUACUUAACGAAUGCGAGUCGAGCGACGAAAGCCGGCUUCGGCUGGCCUGAAAGCGGCGAACGGGUGCGUAACACGUAGGUAACCUACCCUUGAGUCUGGGAUAGCCCCCAGAAAUGGGGGGUAAUACCGGAUACGUUCCAUCGACUGCGGUCGGUGGAGGAAAGGGCUUGACCCGCUCAAGGAUGGGCCUGCGGCCCAUUAGCUAGUUGGUGGGGUAAUGGCCUACCAAGGCGACGAUGGGUAGCCGGCCUGAGAGGGCGACCGGCCACACUGGGACUGAGACAUGGUCCAGACUCCUACGGGAGUUAGCAUCGAGGGAUAUUGCGCAAUGGGCGAAAGCCAGACGCAGUGACGCCGCGUGGAGGACGAAGGCCUUCGGGUCGUAAACUCCUGUCGGGUGGGAGGAGAGCCUCGCUGAACAGGCGGGGUCUGUACAGUACCACCCAAGAAAGCCACAGCUAACUACGUGCCAGCAGCUGCGGUAAUACGUAGGUGGCGAGCGUUGUCCGGAUUUACUGGGCGUAAAGGGCGUCUAGGCGGCCUGAUAAGCGGAGUGUGAAAUCUCUGGGCUUAACCCAGAAACGCCGCUCCGAACUGUCAGGCUUGAGUGCGGGAGAGGGCAGUGGAAUUCCCGGUGUAGCGGUGAAAUGUUUAGAUAUCGGGAGGAACACCAGUGGCGAAGGCGGCUGCCUGGACCGUUACUGACGCUGAAGCGCGAAAGCUAGGGGAGCGAACGGGAUUAGAUACCCCGGUAGUCCUAGCCGUAAACGAUGAGCACUAGGUGUUGGGAGCAUCGACCCUCCCAGUGCCGCAGCUAACGCAAUAAGUGCUCCGCCUGGGGAGUACGGCCGCAAGGUUGAAACUCAAAGGAAUUGACGGGGGCCC